CGCCACUUUUUUGUCUCACAGUUCCUCCAACAUGAUUCCAUGAUUUCAAUAAAUCAAGAGUGUUAUCAGCUAAGUUGCUCGGACUCGGGCGCGGGUAUCCGAGACGGAUGCGAAUCCGAGAGUCGGAUUCGGCAAAAUUUAAAUUUUAAGAUUCGGGGGUGCGAAUCCGAGUAUGGAUACGGGUGCGGGGAUUCGUUAAAAUUAUUCAAUAUUAUAAAUAAUAAUAAUAAUAAAUAUCUUGUAAAAUGCUAUACUUAAAAGGAUAUCAAUUAUAGAUAUACAAAUUUAAAAGUAUAAAUUAAUUACUUGUUACUAAUUAAUUUUAAAAAAAUUAUAAUUAUUUUUAUUUAUUAUAAAAAAGAAAUAAUCAUUUAUAUAUAUAUAUAGCCUAUUAAAUUAGAUAGUAGUACAUAUAUAUAGCCUAUUAAAUCAUUUAUAUAUUAUAUAUAUAGCCUAUUAAAUUAGAUAGUAGUACAUAUAUAUAGCCUAUUAAAUCAUUUAUAUAUUAUAUAUAUAGCCUAUUAAAUUAGAUAGUAGUACAUAUAUAUAGCCUAUUAAAUCAUUUAUAUAUUAUAUAUAUAGCCUAUUAAAUUAGAUAGUAGUACAUAUAUAUAGCCUAUUAAAUCAUUUAUAUAUUAUAUAUAUAGCCUAUUAAAUUAGAUAGUAGUACAUAUAUAUAGCCUAUUAAAUCAUUUAUAUAUUAAGAUAGUAGUACAAUUCAUUAAAGUUCUGACGUGCUGCCAUAUCUAUAUAUAUAGCAUAUUAAAUUAGAUAGUAGUACAAUUAAUUAAAGUUCUGACGUGUUCUGACGUGCUGCCCUUUCUUCUCCCAAGAAACCCUAGCCUUCUUUUUUCCUUUUCAAGAAAAAAGCUCUCUCUUCUUUUUUCAAGAAAAAAACUUUGAAUUAUUUGUUCAUUUUUCCAUCCAUGAAAUUAUCUCUUCUUCCCCAUUUUUUUUCUCGGCUUUGGUCAAAGUAUCCGGAUCGGAUUGACCGAAUCCGACACGCACCCCGCACCCGCGCCCGCACCAGUGUCGCGUCGAGACGGGUUCGGCCGCAAAAAUGAAGAGUCCGCGCAACAUAGGUUAUCAGGCAUUGUCCAUUUCAAUUUCACUAAAGCCAGGAAAAGAUGCCACAGCUGGGAAGUCAACUAGUUUAAGAACUUAAAAAAGGAGUUAAAGCACUAAGAAGGUAAGACGCACUAGAAUAUGAAAUGUGAUUAUAGGCACUAUUUCUCUUGAUAAACAGUGCCUUUCCAUUCAUUCUGUCAACGUUACAGGAUUUUCAAUAGGAAGUAAACUUUAUUAAAAACUAAUAUGCCUUAAUCCCUAACAAGUUGGGGUCGUCUAUAUGAAUUUUCACGGAUCAAAUCGCUCCAUUUGAGCUCAUCUCAUAUCCAAUAGAAAUAAGAAAAAAAAUAAAAAUUACUAGAAGCUCUCUAUAUUUUCUACUGAAAGACUUUGAUAGUACUAAAGGAAUCCUAGAAAACAUAGGAAGUAAA
rnacentral:lncRNA from 1 species